GAUGAAGAACGUAGCGAAAUGCGAUAAGUAAUGUGAAUUGCAGAAUUCAGUGAAUCAUCGAAUCUUUGAACGUACAUUGCGCCCCCUGGUAUUCCGGGGGGCAUGCCUGUUCGAGCGUCAUUACAACCCUCAAGCUCUGCUUGGUGUUGGGCCCCGCCGCCCCGGCGGGCCCUAAAAUCAGUGGCGGUGCCGUCCGGCUCCGAGCGUAGUAAUUCUUCUCGCUCUGGAGGUCCGGGUGUGUGCUCGCCAGCAACCCCCAAUUUUUUUCAGGUUGACCUCGGAUCAGGUAGGGAUACCCGCUGAACUUAAGCAUAUCAAUAAGCGGAGGA
rnacentral:misc_RNA from 1 species